rnacentral:rRNA from 1 species
AAAGAAGAACACGUAUGAGAGUAACUGUUCAUACGUUGACGGUAUUUAACCAGAAAGUCACGGCUAACUACGUGCCAGCAGCCGCGGUAAUACGUAGGUGGCAAGCGUUAUCCGGAUUUAUUGGGCGUAAAGAGAGUGCAGGCGGUUUUCUAAGUCUGAUGUGAAGGCCUUCGGCUUAACCGGAGAAGUGCAUCGGAAACUGGAUAACUUGAGUGCAGAAGAGGGUAGUGGAAACUCCAUGUGUAGCGGUGGAAUGCGUAGAUAUAUGGAAGAACACCAGUGGCGAAGGCGGCUACCUGGUCUGCAACUGACGCUGAGACUCGAAAGCAUGGGUAGCGGACAGGAUUAGAUACCCUGGUAG